rnacentral:sRNA from 1 species
UUACCAGAUCAGACCAGUGGAUAGGUGA